GACGAACGCUGGCGGCGUGCUUAACACAUGCAAGUCGAACGGUAAGGCCCUUCGGGGUACACGAGUGGCGAACGGGUGAGUAACACGUGGGUGAUCUGCCCUGCACUUCGGGAUAAGCCUGGGAAACUGGGUCUAAUACCGGAUAGGACCCUGGGAUGCAUGUCCUGGGGUGGAAAGCUUUUGCGGUGUGGGAUGGGCCCGCGGCCUAUCAGCUUGUUGGUGGGGUGAUGGCCUACCGAGGCGACGGCGGGUAGCCGGCCUGAGAGGGUGACCGGCCACACUGGGACUGAGAUACGGCCCAGACUCCUACGGGAGGCAGCAGUGGGGAAUAUUGCACAAUGGGCGCAAGCCUGAUGCAGCGACGCCGCGUGAGGGAUGACGGCCUUCGGGUUGUAAACCUCUUUCAGCACCGACGAAGCGCAAGUGACGGUAGGUGCAGAAGAAGGACCGGCCAACUACGUGCCAGCCGCCGCGGUAA
rnacentral:rRNA from 1 species